GACGAACGCUGGCGGCGUGCCUAACACAUGCAAGUCGAGCGAUGAAACCCUUCGGGGUGGAUUAGCGGCGGACGGGUGAGUAACACGUGGGUAACCUGCCUCAAAGAGGGGGAUAGCCUCCCGAAAGGGAGAUUAAUACCGCAUAACAUUAGUUUUUCGCAUGAAGGACUAAUUAAAGGAGUAAUCCGCUUUGAGAUGGACCCGCGGCGCAUUAGCUAGUUGGUGAGGUAAAGGCUCACCAAGGCGACGAUGCGUAGCCGACCUGAGAGGGUGAGCGGCCACCUUGGAACUGGGAAACGGUGCAGAGUCCGGCGGGAGGCAGCAGUGGGGAAUAUUGCACAGUGGGAGAAAGCCUGAUGCAGCAACGCCGCGUGAGUGAUGAAGGCCUUCGGGUUGUAAAGCUCUGUCUUUUGGGACGAUAAUGACGGUACCAAAGGAGGAAGCCACGGCUAACUACGUGCCAGCCGCCGCAGUAACAC
rnacentral:rRNA from 1 species